UGACAGUGGACUGAAAAGGGACUGAAGUUCACGGAGUGCUUGCUUUCAUCUCCAGUCUACCUCAUCUACCUCCCCCGCCCCAAGAAGUUCUCGGGAUUCUCCAAUUUGUCCAAGAGGAGCUCGUUUAAAGAGGGAGGCAAUUUAGACUGAACCUGUUGAAGUGGCAGAAGAACAUGUUUUCAUAGAGGGACAGUGCUACUCUUGAUGGUGCCACCAAUCCAUAGAUGAGCAGCAACAGAACAACCUAAAGCAGCAAGAGUGAAAGCAGAAUGCCAGGCAUCUCAGCAAGCCAAUGGACCAAUUCACAUGAUAUGACAACCCAUCAAACGUUAAUUUACCCCUUGAGGAGCUGUGAUGUGCACCAGCUGCCAUCAAGAAUCUGCAACCAUUGUGUCACGUGAAACCAGCUAGCGGGAGAAUAUCUGAGGAUUAAACAAUCCAUGUGUAACCCUACAACAGGUAGUAGGUUAUAAAAUGGUGCCUGAUCCUCAAGAAAUGGGUUUGCAUUAUGCAACAACCCUCAAAAGUGCCAGGGCAGAGUUGUACAUUCAUAAUGUGGCGGAAAUGUGCUGCAGCUCCUCAAGAGUAAAUUAACCCUUGAUGGGCUGCUGUGUCAUGUGCACCGGCUCUUUCCCUGCUCUGUCCCACUAUGCUGAAGUGAGGCAGAUAUGAAAUGGUGCCCAGGUACUCUUAAUAUCUGUGGUUCAGUGGUGAUGGUCUUAUGGGAUUGUAAAUGGGUUUUGCCUUGGUGCAUGCUCAUUUAUUGAUGAUUGCAGAAGUAACUUACAUAUGCGAAUGUUCUUCAGACACAAUGUACAUUUUGAUCAUCACCGCAGCUGGGUUCUGGCCGUUGCCAGUGGCUAUUUUGAAUGUUCAAACUCUAGUGGGCAGUUUCUGUAUCUUAUGUCAUGGGAGCCCAGUGAGGGUUUAUGCAAGGGCUAAACAACCCCUCCAUAAGCUAACGGCUGUUUUAGGGUUUUGUGAGGGUUGCUUAACCCUUGCAUAAGCCACCCUCUCUGCUUUGCACAACACGAUAAGCCACAGCAACCACUGAUAAGCCACAGCAACCACUCAGGGUGGUUUAAAUAUUCAACACGCAGCAAAAAUGUGCCACAACCUGCCCAUCUCACACACAAAGUGUUGAAUUCGUUAGGUGAUAAGCAUGCAUGUGUAAACCAGGACUUGUUUUCAGGCAAAUCAGUCUGCUUUGACUGAGGUCAUUGGGAAGGUUCUGUAAGCUAGUCAGUUUGUUUUCAAAAUCUGAAGUAUUUUUAGUUUCAGAAAUAGCAUGAUCGGCUGUGAAAGAAAUGCCUUGGCAUGUGUUCUUCAGAAACUGUUGGUGUGAGUAAUAAUAAGCUCUGAUCUACUUAUAGCACUGCACUUUGAUUUUAUGGAGGCAUUCAAAAUCCAAAUUCAUCUUCAGAUUUUAUGAUAAGGUACCUUUCAUGGUCAUCAGUAGAAAUGGGACCCUAACAAAUCCCCUGGCCUGAAAUUCCACUCAGUGGUCCAGUUGAACAAUGCAUUAGAGAAACAUCCAUAAGUUGUUGUUACGUUUCUGUACCACCCAUAGCAAAGCUCUCUGAGCGAUUCACAACAUUUAAGUCACCCAUCCAGAUUUCAACCAGGCCUGACCCUCCUUAGCUUCCAAGAUUAAGCAGGAUCAGGCACUUCAGGCUAUAAGGAAGCUAUACUUGUCUGCAAAAUAACUAAAAGGCCAAGAUAUAAUCAAAAGAAUGUACAAUAUUUCCCUUGCUGUGCUUAAAGACACUGGGGUGAAGCUCACUGUGGCUUAUCUAAGUGGCCAGUUGGCUUUUGAAUAUUCAAGCCAUGGCCAAGGUUGUUGUGUCCUGAACUCCAUGUUUUUGGUGUGGUUAACAAGCCCCGCAGAGCCCAUGAGCUGUUUUAUGAAUGUGAGUGACUUGUUCGUCAUGCUGACAAUCCACCGUUUCUGUGUUUCAGUGUCAUAAAAUAUAUCCACAAUCAGCUUUCAGAAAUGUAAUGUUUAGAAGCUACUGUGGAAAGUAGCACUGGAUGCUGGGACAUGACAAGCACUGUUGUGCCAACCGUUUUCAGAAGGUACCUUCCCCAGAAAAGUUCUGAGAUCUUCUGUUUCUUAUUCAUUCACUUCCAAGUCAUGAAAGGCCAUUUCAUCCAUUUUUUCCCCUUUGAUGUGAUGGCUGCCUUCCUUCUCCUCUCCACAUUGCCCUGGAGAGAUGCUAGGCAGGCAUCACUGCAGAAGGUACAAAUUUGGGACCAGGCUGCCAACACAGUGAACGUUGUUGCCAAUUGCUGUGGACAGUCCAAGAAACCAAAAACCCUUGGGAGAAAGAGAAAGCAGUUGUCCUAUGAACCGUCUGAUGGUGAAUUCUGAUUGUGAGAAACGGUCGGAGGAUUUCUCCUGCUCAUGAAAUUGUUCAUCCAGUUUAUCUGUCCACAAAUUUGGUAGAGAAUUUUCAGAGGGCAUUUACUUUACACCUCUAGAUUAUGCACACUUAUAUGUUUAGAUUUGAAGAGUCAGUAUUUGAACACCGAUUUUCUGUGAUCUUUUUACAAUUCUUCUUGUAUUUAGUUUUCCAUAGCUUCAGAGAUGAUCAGUUUGCAAGGGUGGCAAGAAGGAAUGUGUAUAGCAUGGAUCACAUGGGCUCUAAAGUAUCUACCUCUGUGUCUCAAAUACAGAGCACAUUGAUAGAGAUCUCAGUUUUCUGGGCCUAAUUCAGUCCUGAGGAUGAGAGAGUCUUUGUGGCUGCACUGAAAUUGUGGAACUCUGUGGCCAGUGGCUGGCCCUUUCUCUUCUGGUGUUUUGCUACACAGCAAAGACCGUCCUGUAUGGUCUUUGUUUUACCAAGUGUUUAUUUAUUCAAUGCCUACUUUAUCCACUGUCUCUGUAUUCUGUCUUAGGCCUCUGUUUUAUCCACCUGACUCAGUUGCUAUUAUAUUGUACAUUGUAAUUUCUUUGGAAUUUGUUGGAACUGAAUUUUACAUUAGCCCUCCUAAAAAGCAAGUACAAGAAGGCUGGAAUAUAAAUGUUUGUCUAAAUAAGAAACAAAAUAAAUCCCUUAGUAUGAUG